rnacentral:tRNA from 1 species
GGGGAUUUAGCUCAGUGGUAUAAGCACCUGCCUGGCAAGCAUGAGAGGAUGCGUUCGAUCCCCG